AUUGAACGCUGGCGGCAUGCCUUACACAUGCAAGUCGAACGGUAACAGGCCGCAAGGUGCUGACGAGUGGCGAACGGGUGAGUAAUGCAUCGGAACGUGCCCAGUCGUGGGGGAUAACUGCUCGAAAGAGCAGCUAAUACCGCAUACGACCUGAGGGUGAAAGCGGGGGACCGUACGGCCUCGCGCGAUUGGAGCGGCCGAUGUCCGAUUAGCUAGUUGGUGGGGUAAAGGCCUACCAAGGCAACGAUCUGUAGUUGGUCUGAGAGGACGACCAGCCACACUGGGACUGAGACACGGCCCAGACUCCUACGGGAGGCAGCAGUGGGGAAUUCUGGACAAUGGGCGCAAGCCUGAUCCAGCAAUGCCGCGUGCAGGAAGAAGGCCUUCGGGUUGUAAACUGCUUUUGUCAGGGAAGAAAUCUUCUGGGCUAAUACCCCGGGAGGAUGACGGUACCUGAAGAAUAAGCACCGGCUAACUACGUGCCAGCAGCCGCCGUAAGAC
rnacentral:rRNA from 1 species